AUUGAACGCUGGCGGCAUGCCUUACACAUGCAAGUCGAACGGUAACAGGUUAAGCUGACGAGUGGCGAACGGGUGAGUAAUAUAUCGGAACGUGCCCAGUCGUGGGGGAUAACUGCUCGAAAGAGCAGCUAAUACCGCAUACGACCUGAGGGUGAAAGCGGGGGAUCGCAAGGCCUCGCGCGAUUGGAGCGGCCGAUAUCAGAUUAGGUAGUUGGUGGGGUAAAGGCCUACCAAGCCUACGAUCUGUAGCUGGUCUGAGAGGACGACCAGCCACACUGGGACUGAGACACGGCCCAGACUCCUACGGGAGGCAGCAGUGGGGAAUUUUGGACAAUGGACGCAAGUCUGAUCCAGCCAUGCCGCGUGCGGGAAGAAGGCCUUCGGGUUGUAAACCGCUUUUGUCAGGGAAGAAAAGGUUCUGGUUAAUACCUGGGACUCAUGACGGUACCUGAAGAAUAAGCACCGGCUAACUACGUGCCAGCAGCCGCUGUAACAC
rnacentral:rRNA from 1 species